rnacentral:lncRNA from 1 species
UAUAGUCUCGGUUUCAGUAACUAUGAGUUCCAUCAGAAAAUGUCAUGUCACUUCAAUAUUUAAGUUUGGUUGCUUGUGCGGUGUACAAGUGAUGACAAAUGAUGAUGAGAGUUCUACAGUAGUGUCCCGUAGCUAGAUGCCCGGAUCAACGACUCUGCCCUGUCAUCUUCACUAUCUACCACACUCCUGCAAUGACGGUCUGGCCCACAGGGUUGUAGUUGCAGGAGACCACUGUCUUGAUAGGUGACGAUUGUGAUGUUGAUAAAAUGUCAAAACUUUGAACAAUAUGUCUGUGACUAUGAACACAAGGCUGUUAAACAGAUGACUGGGUGUACUCCACUGAUGGAUUAAUCCUCUAAUUGCUGGUUGCCGGAUGUUGGUAAUAUUGAUGAUUACGAUAGUAGCGAUAGUUGAGAUCUAUAGAUAUGAUUGAGAUGACCGAAGUACAGCAAUAGUUGAGAUAAAACAGUGAUAGGUCUCACCUGCAAGGCAAUAACUCGCCCUAAGCUGCAGGGUAGCGAAUAGACAGUAACAAGAACAGACUCUUGUCAUGUCCCUUGGAUAAGCUGCAUAGAAACUGCUAAAUAAAACGUUACAGUUGAUAAAUGUUCGUCCUUACAUGUUAAACAAUAUUUGCAAUUUCACGCACACACGCACUCUACAGCACGGUCAAUUAAACAUUGUAAUGUUACAUCAUGGGUGAUUGUCUCUACACCACAUCACAUUCGCCCACUAACUUUCCAUGAGCAGGUGACACACUUAUCAGCUAUGCCUAUGUGUCGGUCAAGACUUUUGCUCUCUCUACCCUACGGUAGGGGAAUGGACUGCCGGCGCACGGUACACUCCAAUGAGUCCGCCUUUGGCUGAGAUAAUGCGCUUAUAAAUUCCCACUUGUUUUAUCAUCAUCAUCAUCAUCAUCAUCAUCAAUCAUCAUUGUAGAAAAUAUGUUUUCUACUUUUGUGGCAUUUUGUGUAUUUAGUGGAUUUAGUGUGUUAGUCGGGUGGGGGUAAAGUUGUUUAGAAUGUCAAAGCAGUGAACUGGUCAAGCUGGCGGCAUAUCGGCCCGACUGGCGCGCCAAAUGUCUUGCCGCCCUAUUCAACACCACUAGCCAGUCGGCGCUAGCGACAACACCCGACGUAAGCGGCCACAAGUGAUGUAUACAAAGUGAAAUAACUGUGUACCCAGUAUUGUCCAGCUGAAGGCCGGGUACCGCCUAAGGCGAGCAACGCCCCUUACACCUGCGUUCAGAGCCUUUCUACACCUCCAAGGCCACCAGGAGGAAGUUACGCCCACCGGAACCAAGAAACCAACGAAGUCUGGGGAGGGGAAGAGAACGUCACUUCUCCGGGUAGAGAGCUGAGACUUGUUGCAUAGGCGUAGCGAAUCGAGCGAAGCUAGCCAAUCUAGCCGGAAGUGUAAAGAGCGCGCCCCUACAAGCUAGCGAACCUAGACCCCUAGCGUAGCAAAGCUAGCGGCCUUUGGAGGUCCUACGCUUGCUAUUCAAAAUGGCCGACUUUGUUGUCGGUUUCAAGUUUGCAGAUGAGAGUUUCUUUGAUGCUCCCGUUAAAAAGGAGUAUUGGACCGGAAACAAAGUGAAAUGAAUGUGGGAAAUCAAUGGACCAAGGGGGCAUACUUUUCCUCAUGGACACUUAUGCCAAACAUAAGGAACAAUUUGCAAUUCCAACUUGAAAAUAGAGGUAUGGAAGAGGAUUGCUUCGGAAAUGGCAGCCUCAGGAUGCCACUUUGCUCCAGCAGCACUUGAGAAAAAAAUGGAGCAAUAUGAAAAUAUGGUACAAAGCUAUAUUAGAUUUCAACAAGAAAACGGGCCAGGGAAGAUCACGAUGGAAUUUCUAUUCCAGAAUGGCUGAAAUCUUGGAAGGAGACCCUUUGUUCAUCCCACCACUGACAUCAUCACUGGGGAGUGUAAAAGUAAACACUCUCUCCGAGAUCUCCAAUACCCAGCAAUGUGCCACCCCUACAAAGAAGCAAG